GAUGAACGCUAGCGGCAGGCUUAACACAUGCAAGUCGAGGGGCAGCGAGAGAGUGGCAAUACUUUUGUCGGCGACCGGCGGACGGGUGCGUAACGCGUAUGCAACCUACCUUAUACAGGGGGAUAACCUUUCGAAAGGGAGACUAAUACCGCAUAACAUUACUUUGAGGCAUCUUGAGGUAAUUAAAUCUUCGGAGGUAUAAGAUGGGCAUGCGUAGCAUUAGCUAGAUGGUGCGGUAACGGCGUACCAUGGCGACGAUGCUUAGGGGUUCUGAGAGGAAGGUCCCCCACACUGGUACUGAGAUACGGACCAG
rnacentral:rRNA from 1 species